GCCUGGAUGGCUCCAUUGCUUAGAGUGUGGUGCUGAGAAUGCCAGGGCUGCGGGUUUGAUUUCCGCAUGGGACA